ACGGGUGAGUAACACGUAGGUAACCUGCCUUUAAGACUGGGAUAACUAUCGGAAACGAUAGCUAAGACCGGAUAACUGGUUUUCUCGCAUGAGAGAAUCAUAAAACACGGAGCAAUCUGUGGCUUAAAGAUGGGCCUGCGGCGCAUUAGCUAGUUGGUGAGGUAACGGCUCACCAAGGCGACGAUGCGUAGCCGACCUGAGAGGGUGAACGGCCACACUGGGACUGAGACACGGCCCAGACUCCUACGGGAGGCAGCAGUAGGGAAUCUUCCGCAAUGGACGCAAGUCUGACGGAGCAACGCCGCGUGAGUGAUGAAGGUUUUCGGAUCGUAAAGCUCUGUUGCCCUAGACGAACAGCAUGAGGAGUAACUGCCUUGUGUGUGACGGUAUAGGAGAAGAAAGCCCCGGCUAACUACGUGCCAGCAGCCGCGGUAAUACGUAGGGGGCAAGCGUUGUCCGGAAUUAUUGGGCGUAAAGCGCGCGCAGGCGGUC
rnacentral:rRNA from 1 species